UCGAGACCCGAACGAACGGACGACCGCGAACGUGUUACAGCAUACGCUUACUCACUUACCACUCCGCCUCGUCCCGCCGCUCCUCGCGGCGCGGCGCGGCGAGACGGAGGAAACGAAACCCCGGCGCGGUGGGCGCCAAGGAACACUUUUUGGAAGCGCCGUCGCGGCCUCCUCCCCUCCCUCGGGGAGGGGAGGGGGAACGCGGGCGUGGAUACAGAUAUCGUAUUUUGUACGACUCUCGGCAACGGAUAUCUAGGCUCUCGCAUCGAUGAAGAACGUAGCGAAAUGCGAUACUUGGUGUGAAUUGCAGAAUCCCGUGAACCAUCGAGUCUUUGAACGCAAGUUGCGCCCGAGGCCAUCCGGCCGAGGGCACGCCUGCCUGGGCGUCACGCCUCCCGUCGCUCCCCACAGCCGUGCGGAUGCGGAGAUUGGCCCACCGUGCCUCGUGCGCGGCGGGUCGAAGUACGGGCCGUCGUCGGGCCGUGCGCGGCGAAUGGUGGACGAAUACAUGCAUGCACACACUUAACUGUCUGUCUGUCUGUUUGUUUGUUUUGUGCUUACUCUCCGUGCCCCGGCCCUCAACAGAGCGACGUGCCGUCGUCGGACCCCAUACCAAGGACUCUUACUUACUUACUUACGUAAACGUAAGGAAUCGUCCUCGGAACG
rnacentral:misc_RNA from 1 species